CAGCGAGGAUCCAGUUUCAUAAUUGGUUCGAUAGGGUGACUACCGAGGAUGUUGGGAUUAUUGCCAAGAACUUCUUUUCGAAUCUUAUUUUUCUUGGGAAAAAACACGUAUUGUAACGUCUUCCAAAACAUUCAACCACAGCAUUAUAUCGCACAAUACAUUUCCAAGGCUGCAAUCGAACAUAGAAUGGAGUCGUGGCCUGAAUACUCGAGGAGAGUCUGUUUGAACCUUAAAGGCGAAACUUACAAUACAGACAUUCACGUUAUCCGGAAGAAUAUUUGAAACUUACAAUUUCAUGAACCAUUCAACUUGCGAUUGAAACCAGUUGCGGUUUGAAAAUCGUCUAAACCUAAUAAUUCUCGUUGCCUCUGUUGCCCUCGUGAUUCUAACCCUCUUGAUCGUCAAUACUGAUUAACGUAUCAUAAACCCAUGACAUAAUACGUACAGUAGGUAAUCCUAAUAGACGGAAUAAUGCUCAUCUCCCGUAAGCCUAAUUUCCUUGUCAUAUGCUAUAUACACGUUCAAACUGUAUUAUUUCGCAGUUUGAAAAUGGAAACUCGUAAUUUCGAAAAUUAUUUAG